UACACUCCUGCGGGAGGCAGCAGUGGGGAAUAUUGGACAAUGGGGGCAACCCUGAUCCAGCCAUGCCGCGUGAGUGAUGAAGGCCCUAGGGUUGUAAAGCUCUUUUGUGCGGGAAGAUAAUGACGGUACCGCAAGGAUAAGCCCCGGCUAACUUCGUGCCAGCAGCCGCGGUAAUACGAAGGGGGCUAGCGUUGCUCGGAAUCACUGGGCGUAAAGGGUGCGUAGGCGGGUCUUUAAGUCAGGGGUGAAAUCCUGGAGCUCAACUCCAGAACUGCCUUUGAUACUGAGGAUCUUGAGUCCGGAAGAGGUGAGUGGAACUGCGAGUGUAGAGGUGAAAUUCGUAGAUAUUCGCAAGAACACCAGUGGCGAAGGCGGCUCACUGGUCCGGUACUGACGCUGAGGCACGAAAGCGUGGGGAGCAAACAGGAUUAGAAACCCCGGUAGUCCCA
rnacentral:rRNA from 1 species